rnacentral:rRNA from 1 species
GACGAACGCUGGCGGCGUGCCUAAUACAUGCAAGUAGAACGCAGUUGCGAACGGGUGAGUAACGCGUAGGUAACUGCCUCAUAGCGGGGGAUAACUAUUGGAAACGAUAGCCAAAACCGCAUACUGUGAGAUGGACCUGCGUUGUAUUAGGUAGUUGGUAGGGUAAAGGCUCACCAAGGCGACGGUACAUAGCCGGGCUGAGAGGGUGAGCGGCCAAACUGGGACUGAGAGACGGGCCAGACUCCUACUGGAGGCAGCAGUAGGGAAUCUUCGGACAUGGACGGAAGUCCGACCGAGCCAAGCCGCGUGAGUGGAGAAGGUUUUCGGAUCGUAAAGCUCUGUUGUUAGAGAAGCGGUAACUAAACAGAAAGGGCCGGCUAACUACGUGCCAGCAGCCGCGGUAAUAC